AACACUGAACAACGUGGUUGGAGACAUCAUCGAUAAAAUGGCAGCGCAUCUGCACAUUUUCCUCAUUGAUUUUCCUCCUCCAUCUGCUCAGGCUGCCCAGGUCAGCCCUAACCCUCCAUCCUGCUCAGUAAACACUGGCCAAAUGGAGAAAGACUCCCCUUCCCAGCUGCUGGCCCCCACUCUUUUCAUGAGGUCUGGCCCUUCCAGCCUCUGGCGGGCCACCUCUGCCUGACCACAGCUUCCAGCUCCCUCAGACAUCAGAACCCUCCCUCUGCCUGGGGCUCAGCUCCUGGGACUUCAGCCCUGCAGGUUGCAGUGGGACAAAGCAAGCCUAAUACUGGAGAGUACUUGAUCCAUCUAGUAGCCCCCAAGUGCCCUCUCCUUUACACCUCACAAUAUUUUCCAGGGAAUUAAACCCGGAGUCUGAGGAGUUACUGGGAAUCUUUCAAAUGCUUUCGGUUCUAAAACAGAAACAAAGGAAGACAGAGGCUGAGGGUCCUGUCCAUGAUCCAGUGUCUCCUCGCCUGACCUUUGUCUCUCAUAGCCAUAACUCACUCUAGAUAUGAACAAUCAGAGGAAAUACCUUAAAAUAAAUUCCAUCCUCCUGGUAUGGCCUGGAGUCCCAUCAGCUAGCUUGCCCAGGACUGCUCCAUGAGAACUGAAAACUGCAAGCCGCUGGAAGAGCGCCUGCCUGCUCCGGAGAAAGGGAAGGAGAAGGAGAAGGAGGAGGGAAACAGGCAGAUUAAGUGUGAAGGUACAACAGAUGCCAAGGGCCGCCUCUCUCCAAGUGUGCUCAGAGUUCACCCUGUGGAGCAGCUGCAGAAACUCCUGGGCCUCUGCUCUGCACGGUUUCAACUUUCACUGCGGGGACAGACAUGUUUCUAUGCCUUACAGAGACUUGAAGCCUAAAAGCCUGGCCAAGUUUGGAAAGAAGAGGAGCCCUCUCAGGACUCAAGAGCAUUCUGCUUUUUGGAACAUUUCCACAGUGGGUCAAGCUUGACAAGAAUUCAGAUCAAGUUGAACACACACAUAUACAGACACAUACAGAGGCACAAAUUCUGGGAAUACUAAGAAUGUGACCCCAGCUCACACUGCCUACAAGGCUUCUGCACACAAGGUCAAAUAUCUCCACCAAGAGGAGUUGAUUUUUGUUGUUUUGUUUUGUUUUUUUUUUGUGUGUGUGUGUGUGAAAAGCUUGGAAUACACACAAAUCUGUCUCUUAGGUUUUUAAUGUUUUUUAAAAUGUUUAUUCUUAGCACUUUCCUUUUUACACAGCCAUAUCACUUUGUACAGUUGCAAGUGGGUCUAAAUGCAUUUCCCUCUCCCCCAAGAUUGUGCCCGAGAGUAAGACAACAAUAUCUCUAUAACAAUAUCUUAAAUAAAUGCAAGGAGAGGAAACUACAUGCCACACCUAC